UACGUAGGGCGCAAGCGUUGUCCGGAAUUAUUGGGCGUAAAGAGCUCGUAGGCGGAUUGUUAAGUCAGGGGUGAAAUCCUGGAGCUCAACUCCAGAACUGCCUUUGAUACUGGCAAUCUAGAGUCCGGAAGAGGUGAGUGGAACUCCUAGUGUAGAGGUGGAAUUCGUAGAUAUUAGGAAGAACACCAGUGGCGAAGGCGGCUCACUGGUCCGGUACUGACGCUGAGGUGCGAAAGCGUGGGGAGCAAACAGG
rnacentral:rRNA from 1 species